rnacentral:rRNA from 1 species
UGGGGAAUAUUGGACAAUGGGCGAAAGCCUGAUCCAGCCAUGCCGCGUGUGUGAAGAAGGUCUUCGGAUUGUAAAGCACUUUAAGUUGGGAGGAAGGGCAGUAAGUUAAUACCUUGCUGUUUUGACGUUACCGACAGAAUAAGCACCGGCUAACUCUGUGCCAGCAGCCGCGGUAAUACAGAGGGUGCAAGCGUUAAUCGGAAUUACUGGGCGUAAAGCGCGCGUAGGUGGUUUGUUAAGUUGGAUGUGAAAGCCCCGGGCUCAACCUGGGAACUGCAUCCAAAACUGGUAAGCUAGAGUACGGUAGAGGGUGGUGGAAUUUCCGGUGUAGCGGUGAAAUGCGUAGAGAUAGGAAGGAACACCAGUGGCGAAGGCGACCACCUGGACUGAUACUGACACUGAGGUGCGAAAGCGUGGGGAGCAAACA